UCCAAGGAGUUUUGAUCAUGGCUCAGGGACGAACGCUGGCGGCGUGCCUAAUACAUGCAAGUCGAGCGGACCGACGGGAGCUUGCUCCCUUAGGUCAGCGGCGGACGGGUGAGUAACACGUGGGUAACCUGCCUGUAAGACUGGGAUAACUCCGGGAAACCGGGGCUAAUACCGGAUGCUUGAUUGAACCGCAUGGUUCAAUCAUAAAAGGUGGCUUUCAGCUACCACUUGCAGAUGGACCCGCGGCGCAUUAGCUAGUUGGUGAGGUAACGGCUCACCAAGGCGACGAUGCGUAGCCGACCUGAGAGGGUGAUCGGCCACACUGGGACUGAGACACGGCCCAGACUCCUACGGGAGGCAGCAGUAGGGAAUCUUCCGCAAUGGACGAAAGUCUGACGGAGCAACGCCGCGUGAGUGAUGAAGGUUUUCGGAUCGUAAAACUCUGUUGUUAGGGAAGAACAAGUACCGUUCGAAUAGGGCGGYACCUUGACGGUACCUAACCAGAAAGCCACGGCUAACUACGUGCCAGCAGCCGCGGUAAUACGUAGGUGGCAAGCGUUGUCCGGAAUUAUUGGGCGUAAAGCGCGCGCAGGCGGUUUCUUAAGUCUGAUGUGAAAGCCCCCGGCUCAACCGGGGAGGGUCAUUGGAAACUGGGGAACUUGAGUGCAGAAGAGGAGAGUGGAAUUCCACGUGUAGCGGUGAAAUGCGUAGAGAUGUGGAGGAACACCAGUGGCGAAGGCGACUCUCUGGUCUGUAACUGACGCUGAGGCGCGAAAGCGUGGGGAGCGAACAGGAUUAGAUACCCUGGUAGUCCACGCCGUAAACGAUGAGUGCUAAGUGUUAGAGGGUUUCCGCCCUUUAGUGCUGCAGCAAACGCAUUAAGCACUCCGCCUGGGGAGUACGGUCGCAAGACUGAAACUCAAAGGAAUUGACGGGGGCCCGCACAAGCGGUGGAGCAUGUGGUUUAAUUCGAAGCAACGCGAAGAACCUUACCAGGUCUUGACAUCCUCUGACAACCCUAGAGAUAGGGCUUCCCCUUCGGGGGCAGAGUGACAGGUGGUGCAUGGUUGUCGUCAGCUCGUGUCGUGAGAUGUUGGGUUAAGUCCCGCAACGAGCGCAACCCUUGAUCUUAGUUGCCAGCAUUCAGUUGGGCACUCUAAGGUGACUGCCGGUGACAAACCGGAGGAAGGUGGGGAUGACGUCAAAUCAUCAUGCCCCUUUAUGACCUGGGCUACACACGUGCUACAAUGGGCAGAACAAAGGGCAGCGAAGCCGCGAGGCUAAGCCAAUCCCACAAAUCUGUUCUCAGUUCGGAUCGCAGUCUGCAACUCGACUGCGUGAAGCUGGAAUCGCUAGUA
rnacentral:rRNA from 1 species